rnacentral:tRNA from 1 species
GGGGAUUUAGCUCAGCGGCAUAAGCACCUGCCUUGCAAGCAGGCAGUCGUGAGUUCGAGUUCAAUCCCUG